CUGACCUGACGAGGGAGGGGCGCCGCCGCCUCUCGGGGCCGGCGGGGGGUUUUCCUCCCCGCCACCGAUCCUCUGCGCCCCGGCCCGUCCUUCCCCGGGCGCCACCACAGAGAGAAAGCCCAGGAUGCGAGCGAGGGUAUGGCCCUUCGUUGCUCCAAGCUGUGUCAUGUCUCAAGAUUUUCUUCAAAACCAUAUAGGUGUCUUUUUAAUCGAUGAAUGCAGUAGGAGCUGGGAGUACUGGUGGCAAGACACACAACUUAAUGGCAAGCUGCAGAAUGAGCCACGAGGCAGUCUUCCACCUUACCUAGGAAUGCAACUGGAAAUGGACGGUCUGUCAUGCCACAGCCCUAGAAGAUGUUUUCUUCUUUAUCCAACAAACUACUGAGACUUUACUGUGUACCAAGACUUCAGGGUCUGUGCUUGACUCUAGGAGCUAAUUAAUCCAGAAGCUAAGCCUGUGUUAAUAGAAAAUAUACCAGCACUGUUGAUUUGCUCUAUUUAACUCCAAGGGUUGUGUGGUUAACUGGAUGCACCUUGUCUGUCAUAAAUAUAAAUUCUGUUUUCAGUUUAACCACGAAUGAUUUUAUAUGGGCCUUUGCUUACAGAGAUAUAUUCUAGAAAGUAAUGGCGCCUCCUGCCCAAUUUAUGGAAUUGGAGUUCAAGUAGCCAGAAGCAAAAGUAACAAACUAUAAGAAUGUGCAUGAAAUGAUAAACUGGAUGCCUGCUUUUAAAAAUUUUAUUAAUUUGUUUAUUUUUAUUUUACUUUUUUUUGUUCCUAGUGUUUCCAGAGCCAAACACUGUAGACUGGGAAAACCAUUAAAGCCAGAGUCAAUGA